UACGGGGGAUGCAAGCGUUAUCCGGAUUUAUUGGGUUUAAAGGGUGCGUAGGCGGCUUGGUAAGUCAGCGGUGAAAUUUAGGGGCUCAACCUCUACCGUGCCGUUGAUACCGCUGGGCUAGAAUGCGGAUGCCGUGGGAGGAAUGUGUGGUGUAGCGGUGAAAUGCAUAGAUAUCACACAGAACACCGAUUGCGAAGGCAUCUCACGAAUCCGCUAUUGACGCUGAGGCACGAAAGCGUGGGGAUCAAACAGG
rnacentral:misc_RNA from 1 species